rnacentral:misc_RNA from 1 species
CUCACUCAGCACGCAGACGCUGGCCGAGUGCGCAGCAUCCCUUACGAGAGCGCACGGGUCCAUCUCUUUUCCACACAGACGCAGACACACAGAAGCCAGCAGCUAGCGGGACGCACCUCCGCGACCCGUCGUGUCUCCUCGCAUCUUGACCCCUUAUUUCUGUACUCCCUUGUUAAUCCGUAAUCUGCGUCGCCGUGCGUGCGUGCGUGGAGGAGAAGGGGUUGAGUUGUUUUGGCACGCCACCUCACCGCCGACACACAAUACCACCACAACACAGUCACAGCAGAGAGAUCGAAACAGGCCGCCGUGUGUGGGUGUGCGUGCGCGUGUGGAUCUCCCUGUGCGCCGCACAUACACACACAUAUAUAUAUAUAUAAGCAGCAGCGGCAGGGGCCCCCGUGCCUCUCCGUCGCGCGACUUCUCCACUGCGUCUUCGUCCGACACGCACCCAGUCACGCAUACGCGCUGCGGUGUCUCUAGCUUCUCGGUUGCCCCCCCCCCCCCCCCCCCAAAUGCCAUCUGCUAGUACCUCCGCUUCAUCGCCUGGCAAGGCGGUGGCGGCGCCACCGCUCGGCGGCCAGCUGCGCUCGUCAAAGCACGUGCUGGAGCGACUCACAAGCAGUCACCUGGACCACCUCGUUGCCUCGCGUCGAGGCGGGGAUACCGUGUCGCGGGAGUCCCUCGCCGCGUUGUACUCGCUGGCGACGAAGCUGCACUCACCUGCGCUGCGCUUCGUCUCGAACACCAUCGAGACGCGUAAGGAGCGGCACAUCACCACGGAGCAGGUGUGGGGUCAGCUGAACAUGCUGAUGCGGCCGGUGCUCCGCCAGCUAGAGAACAACGUCCGCCGCGCAGAGAUGCUCUACGCUGGUAGCGGCAAGGGCACCUCAGCGAAGGCGGCGCGGCAGCAAUCCCGCAAGGCCGAGGCACCGUCAGGCAAAGGCGAUGACGGUGGCCGUAGCGCACACAAGCCAGGCGGCGACACCGCGGAGAAGGACAUCCUCUCUACCCGCACCUCGGAGCUAGACGAGAGUGACUUGGAUGAGGAGAUUGAGGCUCUGCUGGCGAAGCAGGCGGCUAAGCGCAAGUUGCGGAAGGAGGCGAAGAAAGGUGGCGGCGGUGGCGACGAUUCAUGGCGCUACGCCUUCGGCAAGGACAAUGCCGGCGAGGAGGACGAUGAGGAGGACGACUGGGACGGCGAGGACUCUGGCCACGGCAGGUCGCGCCGCCGUCGCCGCGAGGAGGCGGAAGAAGAGGACGACGUGGAUUUCGAAGAGGACGAGCGGGAUGGGACGCCGUCAGACCGGCGCGCGCGGGAUCGCAACCUGCGAGCCAUGGCGGAAGCCGAGGGUGGCGCGGAGUCCGAGGAGGAGCUGGCCGCGCUCCGUGAGCUGUACGGCGACGACUUCGAGGAUGACGGGCGCGGCUUUGGGGAGGAGGGGGACGAGGACCCAGAUAUGGAGGAGGACAUCGAGCUCGACGAUCCGGCCAACGAUGCGGCCGGUGAAGCGUACAACGAGCAGGACGGGACGUACUUUGGCAAGGGCGACAUCCUCAACGACGAGGCGGGCGACUUCGAAGAGGAGCACGGGGGCUACGGCGGUCGUGCGGGGCACAGUGGCGGUGAUGAUGACGACGGCACCGGUGCUGCACUUCAGGGCGAGGGUGAGGAGAUGGAUGAGGAGCUGCUCGCCGCGCUAGAGGACCCAAGCCUGUCUGAGCUGCAGAAGGAGCGCCUGCGCGAGCAGCAUAUGGUGCGCAAGAUGGAGGAGAAGCGGCUCUUUGUCACCGACUGGAGCAUGGUGGGCGAGACGGCCGCCAGCAAGCGCCCGCGCGACGCACUGCUGGAGGUGGACAACCUGGAGUUUGAGUACGGCAUGAAGGCGGUCCCAGUCAUAACCGAAGCGUUCACCGCCAAGCUGGAGGACCGCAUCAAGCAGCGCAUCCAGGACGAGAAUUAUGACGAUGUGAAGCGCAAGACGACCUUGUCAACGGAGGCUGACAUUGCCCACCCGAAGUAUGACGCUGCCCUCGAUGCUCAGAAGUCGAAGAUGUCACUGAUGGACCUCUACGAAAAGGAUUUUCUGGAGAGGCAGAGACUCGCGGAGGAGGCAGCCGGCGGCCCUGACGCCCCGAAAGCCGAGCCGCUCACGGAGAUCGAGAAAGAUGAGCUGCGGGCGAUCCAGAUGUGGCAGCGGCUGGCUCAGCACCUCGAUGCCCUGAGUAACUUCCACUACACUCCCAAGCCGGUGCAGCAAGACCUCGAUGCGCGCGUGCGUGCAGUGGAGAACCAGGCACCGGCGGUGGUGAUCGAGAAUGUGGGCAACUUCGCCACAACGCGCGAGAACGCGCUGGCCCCGCAAGACCUUUACCGCGGCUCUUCGCACCGCUUCGCCGAUGUUGGCACUGAUGAGCUGACGCCGAAGGAGCGCCACGCCCUGCGUCGCUCCAAGAAGGAGGCGGGAAAGAAGGACAAGCAGCGCGCUGAUGUGCGCAAGCGAAAGCAGCAGUCCACUGAGCAGGCGACGGGAGGGAGGUAGCCGCCGGGUGAAUGGGCGGCGUUCAGCAUGCGCGACUAGAGCAGCUGUGCCGGUCUUUCGCUGUGGUUUCUUCCAACCCCGUGUUGCGGCGGCGCACUCCUCCAGAUGUAUGUGCCUGUCUCGAAUAUAUCUGUGCUAACUACCUUGAACACUAAGCUGCUGCCCCCCCUCCCUCGAACACAGCCGCACGUGUCCUGGCAAACGCAUCGUGGAGAGAGACGUUCAUCUCCCUCUUUCUUCUGCGUGUACACGCAUGCGUGCGUGUACGUGUGGGCAGCACUCAAGCGUAUAAUCAUCUACUAAUCAAUCUUUACGCUACACACACACACACACACACAACAUACACACAGGUACAUGCAUGAUGCCAGUCUCUGUCCCAUUCUUGCAUGCAUGCGUGGGGGGCUGCAUGCGCUCGUGCGAAGGCCGAUGGCCGCGCUCACUUUG